UUAAGCUACAAAGAGCGUAGGGAGGAUACCUAGGCACCAAGAGCCGAAGAAGGACGUGAUAAGCUGCGAAAAGCUAUGGUAAGGAGCAAAUAUCCUAUGACCCAUAGAUAUCCGAAUGAGGGAACUCAUCCACAGAAAAAAGUGUGGAUAUCCAUAUAUGAGUAAAGUAGUAUAUAGGAAGGGAACGCAAGGAACUGAAACAUCUUAGUACUUGUAGGAAGAGAAAGAAAAAUCGAUUCUGUGAGUAGUGGCGAGCGAAAGCGGAAGAGCCCAAACCAAUGUUGCUUGCAACGUUGGGGUUCGGACUACAUAAUCCAUUUAUCGAGCGAAUAAGAAUUGUUUGGGAAGGCAAAUCAUAGAAGGUGAAAAUCCUGUAUUAGAAGUGAGAUAGAGGAGGUAGUAUCCAGAGUAGUGCGAGGCACGUGAAACCUCGUAUGAAAGAGCGGGGACCACCCCGUAAGGCUAAAUACUACUUGGUGACCGAUAGAGAUUAGUACCGUGAGGGAAAGGUGAAAAGAACCCCGGGAGGGGAGUGAAAUAGAACAUGAAACCCUAUGCUUACAAACAGACAAAGCACGUUAAGGUGUGAUGUCGUACUUUUUGUAGAACGGUCCAGCGAGUUAUUGUAUAUGGCAAGGUUAAGCACUAUGUAAGGUGUGAAGCCGAAGCGAAAGCGAGUCUGAAAAGGGCGUAUAAGUCAUAUGUAAUAGACCCGAAACCGGGUGACCUAACCAUGGUCAGGAUGAAGCUUGAGUAAAAUCAAGUGGAGGUCCGAACUGAUAAGCGUUAAAAAGCUUCCGGAUGAACUGUGGUUAGCGGAGAAAUUCCAAUCGAACUCGGAGAUAGCUGGUUCUCCUCGAAAUAGCUUUAGGGCUAGCCUUGAGGUAAAAGAAUUAUGGGGGUAGAGCACUGAAUGAGGUAGGGGCCAAACCAGGUUACUGAACUCUAUCAAACUGCGAAUACCAUAAUUAGAAUACUCAGGAGUCAGACUGCGGGAGCUAAGUUCCGUGGUCAAAAGGGAAAGAGCCCAGAUCGUCAAUUAAGGUCCCAAAGAUAUAGCUAAGUGGGAAACGAUGUGAAAUUGCGUAAACAACCAGGAUGUUGGCUUAGAAGCAGCCAUACAUUUAAAGAGUGCGUAAUAGCUCACUGGUCGAGUGGUUGUGCGCCGAAAAUGUCCGGGGCUCAAACGUGCCACCGAAGCGGCGGAUUUCAGUGAAAACUGGAGUGGUAGAGGAGCAACGUAUGCGGGUUGAAGCCGUACCGAGAGGAGCGGUGGACUGUAUACGAGAGAUAAUGCAGGUAUGAGUAGCGAGAGCAACGCGAGAAACGUUGCCGUCGAAAGCCCAAGGUUUCCUGGGGAAGGUUCAUCCGCCCAGGGUAAGUCGGGGCCUAAGCCGAGGACAGAAGUCGUAGGCGAUGGAUAGCAGGUGGAUAUUCCUGCACCGCCGAGGAAUGAGGCAGUGACACAGAAGGAUAGCUCGAGCCGGGUGAUGGUCAACCCGGUCCAAGCGGUAAGCUUGGGAUGUAGUGAAGUACGCAUCCCUUUAAGGUAAGCCGUGAUGGGGACCGAAAUAAAGUAGGGAAGCGAGUGAGUUCACGCUGGCGAGAAAAGCUGCUAGUAUAUCCGAAGGCGCCCGUACCGGAAACCGACGCAGGUGGGCGAGGAGAGAAUCCUGAGACGAACGGGAGAACCCUUGUUAAGGAACUCGGCAAAAUGACCCCGUAACUUCGGGAGAAGGGGUGCCUCGAAAGAGGCCGCAGAGCAUAGGCCCAAGCGACUGUUUAGCAAAAACACAGGUAUCUGCGAAAGCGAGAGCUGACGUAUAGGUGCUGACACCUGCCCGGUGCUGGAAGGUUAAGGGAAAAUGUCAGGGCAACCGAAGCAUAGAACCGAAGCCCCAGUAAACGGCGGCCGUAACUAUAACGGUCCUAAGGUAGCGAAAUUCCUUGUCGGGUAAGUUCCGACCCGCACGAAUGGUGUAACGAUUUGGGCACUGUCUCAACAGGGGGCCCGGUGAAAUUGAAGUAUGGGUGAAGAUGCCCAUUACCCGCGACUGGACGGAAAGACCCCGUAGAGCUUUACUGUAACCUGAUAUUGGAUUUCGGUAACGGAUGCACAGAAUAGGUGGGAGACUGGGAAAUACGUGUUUCGGCAUGUAUGGAGUCGCCGUUGGGAUACCACUCUUCUGUUAUUGGAAUUCUAACAUGACGCCGUAAGCCGGUGAAUGGACAGUGUCAGGCGGACAGUUUGACUGGGGCGGUCGCCUCCGAAAGAGUAACGGAGGCGCCCAAAGGUACCCUCAGAAUGGAUGGAAACCAUUCGAAGAGUGUAAAGGCAGAAGGGUGCCUGACUGCGAGACUGACAAGUCGAGCAGAGACGAAAGUCGGGCUUAGUGAUCCGGCGGUAUGAGAGUGGAAUUGCCGUCGCUUAACGGAUAAAAGCUACCUCGGGGAUAACAGGCUGAUCUCCCCCAAGAGUCCACAUCGACGGGGAGGUUUGGCACCUCGAUGUCGGCUCGUCGCAUCCUGGGGCUGGAUUAGGUCCCAAGGGUUUGGCUGUUCGCCAAUUAAAGCGGCACGCGAGCUGGGUUCAGAACGUCGUGAGACAGUUCGGUCCCUAUCCAUCGUGGGCGUAGGAGUCAUGAAGGGAGCUGUUCCUAGUACGAGAGGACCGGAAUGGACGCACCACUGGUGCAACUGUUGUUCUGCCAAGGGCACAGCAGGGAAGCGAAGUGCGGAAGAGAUAAACGCUGAAGGCAUCUAAGCGUGAAGCCCACCUCAAGAAUAAGACUCCCAUCUCUAUAAGAGAGUAAGACCCCCGGAAGACUACCGGGUGAUAGGUCAGCGGUGUAAGCGCAGUAAUGCGUGAGCUUGCUGAUACUAAUAGGUCGAGGGCUUGAUUU
rnacentral:rRNA from 1 species